rnacentral:rRNA from 1 species
GAUGAACGCUGGCGGCGUGCCUAAUACAUGCAAGUCGAGCGAACAGACGAGGAGCUUGCUCCUCUGACGUUAGCGGCGGACGGGUGAGUAACACGUGGAUAACCUACCUAUAAGACUGGGAUAACUUCGGGAAACCGGAGCUAAUACCGGAUAAUAUAUUGAACCGCAUGGUUCAAUAGUGAAAGACGGUUUUGCGGUCACUUAUAGAUGGAUCCGCGCCGCAUUAUCUAGUUGGUAAGGUAACGGCUUACCAAGGCAACGAUGCGUAGCCGACCUGAGAGGGUGAUCGGCCACACUGGAACUGAGACACGGUCCAGACUCCUACGGGAGGCAGCAGUAGGGAAUCUUCCGCAAUGGGCGAAAGCCUGACGGAGCAACGCCGCGUGAGUGAUGAAGGUCUUCGGAUCGUAAAACUCUGUUAUUAGGGAAGAACAAAUGUGUAAGUAACUAUGCACGUCUUGACGGUACCUAAUCAGAAAGCCACGGCUAACUACGUG